GCCUGGGUGGCUCAGUCGGUUGAGUGUCUGACUUCAACUCAGGUCAUGAUCUCACAGUCCAUGGGUUCAAACCUCACAUCAGGUU
rnacentral:tRNA from 1 species